AAGAGUUAGGGCUGCAUGGGAUUCUGGGUAUUGGUACCGUCAGUGUAAGGUGUGUGGCUGCUGAGGUAGUACGCCUUGCUGUCACUUACGUGAGCAAGCUGACACUGCAUUCUGAAUGUGGUCGAGCAGGUACGCUGUUUGGGCAGGCUGUAGAGGGCGCCAAAAGCAGUGUCAUCACACCCUGAUUUUCGGGAGUCUCCCGGGAAAAAUGAGAGGAAGUAUGACGCUAUCAAGUGCCAUUUUUUCACAACUCGCGGGCCGCACUAACAUCAAAUUUCCACAUUAAAGUGCGUGCCGGUGUGUGUGUCGGAGACCCCUGGUUUACAUAGCACAAAGCGUUUAAGCUUUGUAUGCGGUGUUUUUCCAUUUUAAUUUUUUUUGUGGCUCCCAUUAUUUUCUUUAAUUUGUGAAACUUGCCAAAAUGGCUCUUUGAGUGGUAAAGGUUGCCGACCCCUGGUCUAAAGGGAAAGAACAAAUAUAUUUAGAAAGAAAAGAUUAAGCAUUUUAUUAACGCAUAUUAUUUCCAGGCUUUCGCGGGCCACAUAAAAUAAUGUGGCGGGCCAGAUUUGGCGCCGGGCCUUGAGUCUGAGACUGUGCUUUAAAAUAGACAUAUUUUAAAGCAUGAAGGGUAGGUCCAAGUUCUUGGUUCCGUAUCCAAUAUAGCCAAAUCCGUGCAGCGGUGUCAUGGGUACGUGGUAGAAGGUCAGGCCCAACCACAGCAGGCUGCGGAUCACACACACUUUGUUGGCACCUUCAAACUGGAGACUCCAUGAUCCUAUACAUGCACACAAGGAUUUUAACAGUGCCAACUCCUUAUAGAUACAGCAGUUUUUCUUGUGUUACCUUUUGGAAUGUCCUCACUCAGUGGAUCUAGGAAGUCUAAGGCAGGGUUCAACUCAGCCAUCUCCAGGAGGGACUUCUUUUUCAGGGUCUUAGGUUGAGCAAAAUGAAGAAAGUGUUCUAGUUUCCCGGCUUGAGAGUAAGAAAGUCCUAUGGGACACAUCACAUUUAUUUUCAAGUAAAUGUUCAUGUAUGUGGUCAAAAAAAAGUGAGACAGUCACCGCCAAAGCUACGGUUGAUAUGGACCACUCCGUGCGUGCUGGUGAUGAAGGCACCUCGUGGUACCACAGACGCUUCCUCGUUGAUGAGGUGAACCGUCACAGCGAGUCUGGUUUCCUCUGUCACUUUGUUCUAAACAUACCAAAAGAAACCAAAAUCGCAUGAACAUCUAUAGGUUCAUCUGAAGAAGAGGGGCGUUCACAAGCCUUGUAAUCUAUCCAUCCAUUUUCUACCGCUUGUCCCUUUUGGGGUCGCGGGGGGGCUCGCUGGAGCCUAUCUCAGCUACAAUCGGGCGAAAGGCGGGGUACACCCUGGACAAGUCGCCACCUCAUCACAGGCCUUGUAAUCCUUGACAUGUUAGGAGCACCACUGCAAGGAAGCUCGAGAAGGUCUUGGGUGAUCAUACUCACUGUCGACUCUUCGGCCGUGCCGUCAAGUCUGUCUCCCUGCUUUGGUUCGUACACAAAAGACGGGUCACCUUCGAAUCGGCCCUUCGCCGUUUUGGAGACGUCCUCAAUCAUUGCCGUUGUGGUGGUGGGGAUUAGGAACCAGUCAAUGCAGUUGAAGCUGGCGACCCCAACAUCGUAAUAGAGAAUAAUUAUAGCAUCAGUAAAGUUCUGUUGAUCUGCAUUGUAGGCUUCUUUCUAUUGUGUUUAUUUUCACAAAUAUUUUGUGUUGUUACAUUAUAUUAUUUUAACAUAUUCGGGUAAUAGGAGGGCAAAACUAUUUGAAUGAGAGCCAGUAAGUAGUUUUUGCUGUUUUUAGUUAAGGGAAUAAUGUAUUGUUUUUUUAUACUGUUGUAUAUUAGUAAACAGUAACUAAAUACGUUUGUUGCUAAAACAUGGACUAAAAUAUUUGUCAUAGUUUUAAUUAAAGGUAAAAUCACAAAAAAAUCAAAUGUGUUUUACUUGAUUAUACUGAAAUGUGCCUUAUGGACACACCCGAAGGAAGGUUUACCUGUAGAAAUGCUGCGUGUCCUUCAGCUCAUCAUCCCUCCUCCCUUGAGCGAUAAAGUAAUGCUCUUUUAAUCCGAGUAUUUUGCCCCAAAACAGCACCCGGUUGAAUUUGUAGUUCUUCUUCACGAUAAUCAGAGAAGUUUGCAGAGCUGCCCUUUGCUCAGAGUUCAAAAUGCACCCGCUGCCAGCAACCAGCUCCAGCGAGUAGGAUAACGAACUGGCGUCCAUGAUGGUUUAACGUAAAUAGCAACCCUACAGUGUUGCUGUCAAUUAGUUUGCUAGCUAACACAAGCCAACACUUCCGGACAUUCCUUUCGGUCACCUUAAUAUCAAUAAACCGAGUCGUCACACAUUCCUAUAAUUUACUUCGUCUUUUGCGUCGUUGUUGUCUGGUUUCUACUUGUCGAUGAACUCAUUGAGCGUCAUUUGUACGCGUACUUCCUGGUUGCUAUAACAACGUUUAAACAAAGCAUUUGAUUGGUAGGCGCGUGUCAGCUACACCUGACGUCACGUCAGAACUGGUAAAUAUUAAAAAUGGCGCCCAUAGAAGCGUUGCACGAAUUAAAAGAUUCUGUGUGGUGGAUGAGGAAGAUGGAGGCCUGCACACGCAUGCUAGCAACACUUUUUCAGCAUCUAUGGACUGGAAGUGUGUGCCGGGCUGCCUUCAGUAGAACCGUAGGACUGCGGGGUCAGAGACCCGUUUGAAGCCCCCACUGACGAUUUUGGAUUCAGCACUCUUGGAAGCGGAGCGAGCCAGUACCAAGCGAAUGGUGUAAAGCAGCAAGCCAGGCAGCCGCAACAGAUCCAUGGCCGAGCCCACCAGGCCCGCCGCGAUCACGUAAUUUACAAAAAAGGCCCCUUGGUCCGGUAGGAACACACACCUUGGUGCACAGAUGGCAAAGUUAGAAAAAUUUUCUAAUUGAAUUAUAUAUACUGAACAAAAGUAUAAACGCAACACUUGUUUUUGCUACCAUUUUUUAUGAGCUGAACUCAAAGAUCUAAAAUGUUUACUAUAUCCACAAAAGACCUAUUCCUCUCAAAUAUUGUUCACAAAUCUGUCUAAAUCGGUGUUAGUGAGCACUUCUU